rnacentral:rRNA from 1 species
UACGUAGGGGGCAAGCGUUGUCCGGAAUCAUUGGGCGUAAAGCGCGCGUAGGCGGCCCGAUAAGUCCGCUGUCAAAGUCCAGGGCUCAACCCUGGGAUGCGGGUGGAUACUGCCGGGCUCGAGUCCGGAAGAGGCGAGUGGAAUUCCCGGUGUAGCGGUGAAAUGCGCAGAUAUCGGGAGGAACACCAAUGGCGAAGGCAGCUCGCUGGGACGUGACUGACGCUGAGACGCGAAAGCGUGGGGAGCAAACAGG